UGCCUUGAACUAAUGUUAAGAUUUUUGCGUGUUUUAUGGGUUUGUGUGCCUUUUGCCUCAUGCUAAUUCUAGUUUUUGGUAAACUCCUAAGACCGAAGCUUCCGGAUCUCCCCCUCAAACCGUUAAGAACGUGCAUUGGGUAAAUUUUUAGAUUUAGGGGGUGUUGUGAUAAAUUAGUCGACGGAAGGUAUACCUGUUACGGGGAGUAUAGUUUCUUUAAACAGUUAGGGUGAUGAGAUCCUUUCUGUGUUUAUAUUUUAGAUUGAUCUUUUUUUACUAGGGUUAAGGUUACCCCUGUUUAGUGAUAGUGUUAAAAUAUCAAAGCUAGCCUGUUUAUAAUUAAUUAGAAUUUCCCCGUGUACUAAUUAUCUGUGGGUAUUUAUGAAUUAAUAAGUAAUUAUAUCAGUUCAAAUCAUUCUCGGGCCUAGCCCAACUGUUUAUUAAAAACAUUUCUGCCGCCAUUAGGCAGUAUGACCUGCCCGGUGUGAUAUUAACGGCCGCAGUAUUAUGACUGUGCGAAGGUAGCAUAAUUAAUUGCCCCAUAAUUGGGGGCUUGUUUGAAGGGUUUAAUGCGGUUAGCGCUAAGAUUUGAGUUUUAUGUGAAUUUAAUACCGCGGGUAAAGAAUCCUCGGCUUAAAGUUAGACGGAAAGACCCCAGGAUCUUUCAUUUUGUCUGGGGCAGAUUGAACUUUUUUAGUUUAUUUGAGACCCUUAGAUUAGAGAGUUAAGUUACCCUGGGGAUAACAGAGUAAUAGUUUAUAAGAGAUCUUAUCGAUUAAACUGAUUGCUACCUCGAUGUUGACUUGGGUAAGCCCAAUAGCGCAGUCGUUAUUGGGCAAGGUCUGUUCGACCAGAAGACCCUCAUGAGUUGAGUUAAGACCGGCGUGAGCCAGGUCGGUUCUUAUCUGCUGGUGCAGCGGGUCAGUACGAAAGGACCUCCCGCUAUUUUAUU
rnacentral:rRNA from 1 species